CCUACGGUAGUCAGCAGUGGGGGAUAUUGCACAAUGGGGGAAACCCUGAUGCAGCGACGCCGCGUGGGCGAAGAAGUAUUUCGGUAUGUAAAGCCCUAUCAGCAGGGAAGAAGAACUGACGGUACCUGAGUCAGCAGCACCGGCUAAAUACGUGCCAGCAGCCGCGGUAAUACGUAUGGUGCAAGCGUUAUCCGGAUUUACUGGGUGUAACGGGAGCGCAGGCGGCACGGCAAGCCUGAUGUGAAAGCCCGCGGCCCAACCGCGGGACUGCAUUGGGAACUACCGGGCUGGAGUGCCGGAGAGGUAGGCGGAAUUCCUAGUGUAGCGGUGAAAUGCGUAGAUAUUAGGAGGAACACCAGUGGCGAAGGCGGCCUGCUGGGCUUUAACUGACGCUGAGGCUCGAAAGCGUGGGGAGCAAACAGGAUUAGAUACCCCAGUAGUC
rnacentral:rRNA from 1 species